rnacentral:rRNA from 1 species
UAMCAUGCAGUCGACGAUGAUGCCCAGCUUGCUGGGUGGAUUAGUGGCGAACGGGUGAGUAACACGUGAGUAACCUGCCCCUGACUCUGGGAUAAGCGUUGGAAACGACGUCUAAUACUGGAUAUGAUCACUGGCCGCAUGGUCUGGUGGUGGAAAGAUUUUUUGGUUGGGGAUGGACUCGCGGCCUAUCAGCUUGUUGGUGAGGUAAUGGCUCACCAAGGCGACGACGGGUAGCCGGCCUGAGAGGGUGACCGGCCACACUGGGACUGAGACACGGCCCAGACUCCUACGGGAGGCAGCAGUGGGGAAUAUUGCACAAUGGGCGAAAGCCUGAUGCAGCAACGCCGCGUGAGGGAUGACGGCCUUCGGGUUGUAAACCUCUUUUAGUAGGGAAGAAGCGAAAGUGACGGUACCUGCAGAAAAAGCACCGGCUAACUACGUGCCAGCAGCCGCGGUAAUACGUAGGGUGCAAGCGUUGUCCGGAAUUAUUGGGCGUAAAGAGCUCGUAGGCGGUUUGUCGCGUCUGCUGUGAAAUCCCGAGGCUCAACCUCGGGCUUGCAGUGGGUACGGGCAGACUAGAGUGCGGUAGGGGAGAUUGGAAUUCCUGGUGUAGCGGUGGAAUGCGCAGAUAUCAGGAGGAACACCGAUGGCGAAGGCAGAUCUCUGGGCCGUAACUGACGCUGAGGAGCGAAAGCAUGGGGAGCGAACAGGAUUAGAUACCCUGGUAGUCCAUGCCGUAAACGUUGGGCGCUAGAUGUAGGGACCUUUCCACGGUUUCUGUGUCGUAGCUAACGCAUUAAGCGCCCCGCCUGGGGAGUACGGGCCGCAAGGCUAAAACUCAAAAGGAAUUGA